GCAUUGGUGGUUCAGUGGUAGAAUUCCCGCCUCCCACGUGGGAGACCAGAGUUCGAUUCUGCUGUGUG
rnacentral:tRNA from 1 species